rnacentral:rRNA from 1 species
CCUACGGGAGGCAGCAGUGGGGAAUAUUGCACAAUGGGCGCAAGCCUGAUGCAGCGACGCCGCGUGGGGGAUGACGGCCUUCGGGUUGUAAACUCCUUUCGCUAGGGACGAAGCUUUUUGUGACGGUACCUAGAUAAGAAGCACCGGCUAACUACGUGCCAGCAGCCGCGGUAAUACGUAGGGUGCGAGCGUUGUCCGGAAUUACUGGGCGUAAAGGGCUCGUAGGUGGUUUGUCGCGUCGUCUGUGAAAUUCCGGGGCUUAACUCCGGGCGUGCAGGCGAUACGGGCAUAACUUGAGUACUGUAGGGGUAACUGGAAUUCCUGGUGUAGCGGUGAAAUGCGCAGAUAUCAGGAGGAACACCGAUGGCGAAGGCAGGUUACUGGGCAGUUACUGACGCUGAGGAGCGAAAGCAUGGGUAGCGAACAGGAUUAGAUACCCUGGUAGUCCAUGCCGUAAACGGUGGGCGCUAGGUGUGAGGGUCUUUUCACGACUUUCGUGCCGUAGCUAACGCAUUAAGCGCCCCGCCUGGGGAGUACGGCCGCAAGGCUAAAACUCAAAGGAAUUGACGGGGGCCCGCACAAGCGGCGGAGCAUGUGGAUUAAUUCGAUGCAACGCGAAGAACCUUACCUGGGCUUGACAUACACCAGAUCGCUGCAGAGAUGUAGUUUCCCUUUGUGGCUGGUGUACAGGUGGUGCAUGGUUGUCGUCAGCUCGUGUCGUGAGAUGUUGGGUUAAGUCCCGCAACGAGCGCAACCCUUGUCUUAUGUUGCCAGCAUUUGGUUGGGGACUCAUGAGAGACUGCCGGGGUCAACUCGGAGGAAGGUGGGGAUGACGUCAAAUCAUCAUGCCCCUUAUGUCCAGGGCUUCACACAUGCUACAAUGGUCGGUACAACGCGCAGCGACACUGUGAGGUGGAGCGAAUCGCUGAAAGCCGGCCUUAGUUCGGAUUGGGGUCUGCAACUCGACCCCAUGAAGUCGGAGUCGCUAGUAAUCGCAGAUCAGCAAUGCUGCGGUGAAUACGUUCCCGGGCCUUGUACACACCGCCCGUCACGUCAUGAAAGUUGGUAACACCCGAAGCCGGUGGCCCAAACUUGUUAGGGAGCCGUCGAAGGUGGGAUCGGCGAUUGGGACGAAGUCGUAACAAGGUACCCGUACCGGAAGGUGCGGGUG